GUGGCAAGCGUUGUCCGGAUUUAUUGGGCGUAAAGCGAGUGCAGGCGGCUCAAUAAGUCUGCUGUGAAAGCCCUCGGCUCAACCGGAGAAUUGCAUCAGAAACUGUUGAACUUGAGUGCAGAAGAGGAGAGUGGAACUCCAUGUGUAGCGGUGGAAUGCGUAGAUAUAUGGAAGAACACCAGUGGCGAAGGCGGCUCUCUGGUCUGCAACUGACGCUGAGGUUCGAAAGCGUGGGUAGCAAAC
rnacentral:rRNA from 1 species